rnacentral:rRNA from 1 species
UGUGACAUACCUUAUGUUGCCUCGGCGGAUCAGCCCGCGCCCCGUAAAAAGGGACGGCCCGCCGCAGGAACCCUAAACUCUGUUUUUAGUGGAACUUCUGAGUAUAAAAAACAAAUAAAUCAAAACUUUCAACAACGGAUCUCUUGGUUCUGGCAUCGAUGAAGAACGCAGCAAAAUGCGAUAAGUAAUGUGAAUUGCAGAAUUCAGUGAAUCAUCGAAUCUUUGAACGCACAUUGCGCCCGCCAGUAUUCUGGCGGGCAUGCCUGUUCGAGCGUCAUUUCAACCCUCAAGCCCAGCUUGGUGUUGGGAGCUGCAGUCCUGCUGCACUCCCCAAAUACAUUGGCGGUCACGUCGAGCUUCCAUAGCGUAGUAAUUUACACAUCGUUACUGGUAAUCGUCGCGGCCACGCCGUUAAACCCCAACUUCUGAAUGUUGACCUCGGAUCAGGUAGGAAUACCCGCUGAACUUAAGCAUAUCA